rnacentral:rRNA from 1 species
GAUGAACGCUGGCGGCGUGCCUAAUACAUGCAAGUCGAGCGAACAGACGAGGAGCUUGCUCCUCUGACGUUAGCGGCGGACGGGUGAGUAACACGUGGAUAACCUACCUAUAAGACUGGGAUAACUUCGGGAAACCGGAGCUAAUACCGGACAAGAUAUUGAACCGCAUGGUUCAAUAGUGAAAGACGGCUUUGCUGUCACUUAUAGAUGGAUCCGCGCCGCAUUAGCUAGUUGGUAAGGUAACGGCUUACCAAGGCUACGAUGCGUAGCUGACCUGAGAGGAUGAUCGGCCACACUGGAACUGAGACACGGUCCAGACUCCUACGGGAGGCAGCAGUGGGGAAUCUUCGACAAUGGGCGAAAGCCUGACGCAGCCACGCCGCGUGUGUGAAGAAGGUCUUCGGAUUGUAAAGCUCUUUAAGUUGGGAGGAAGGGAAGUAAGUUAAUACCUUCCGGUUUUGACGUUACCAAAAAAAAAAGCCCCGGCUAACUACGUG